AGGUGUGUCUUAUAAGGCGGAAUAUAGGUUCCUCAAGCCAGCGAUUGUUUGAGGCAGAGAGAAGAUAGGAGGACCACACAGAGGAGAAGCCAACUGCUGCUGACGGGACCAGGGCCAGGCACAUUACAGGCAUUUGCUCUUCUGCAUUCUUUGAAACCUAUGAAGGAUCUAACUACCACUGAGCAAUAUAGUCCAUUUUCCAACGUCAUUCGUCAUCAACUCCAACCUGAACAGUUCUAAGGACUCUGACCUAAUCAUCGAAAGCAGUACAUGAGUUCUGCACUACAGACUGUUACUGCAGAGAAGGACCUACAGCUAUAGAUGUCACCCUAGGUCAUAAUUCAAGCUUGCUUAGCUUUCCUAUAGGAGACAUCACCAUCUGUAUCACUUCAUUAAUAUUGUGUGAAAUUGGACCUUAUUUCUGAAUUAACAUCUGAUUGUAGCUGUCAAGAGUG